GCAAACUUGGUCAUUUAGAGGAAGUAAAAGUCGUAACAAGGUCUCCGUAGGUGAACCUGCGGAGGGAUCAUUACCGAGUUCAUGCCCCUCGUGGGGUAGAUCUCCCACCCUGUGUGAUUACUACUUUGUUGCUUUGGCGGGCCGCCUUCGGGCUGCCGGCUCGCGCUGGUGAGCGCCCGCCAGAGGAUUUCAACUCUGUUAUUAGUGUUGUCUGAGUCCUAAAUUAUAAUCAUUAAAACUUUCAACAACGGAUCUCUUGGUUCUGGCAUCGAUGAAGAACGCAGC
rnacentral:misc_RNA from 1 species